rnacentral:lncRNA from 12 species
GUCAAGGUUCCCCUUUGUACAUAUGUGAUCGGUUCAUGCCAGGUUUGGCAGCGUGCCUUUCCAGGGGAGAGCCUCUGUGACCAGGACAAGGUGGUUCAGCACUCGGUGCAGCAACGCAGACAGGAUCAGAAGCUGGGGUGGGGAUGGCUCCUGCUCCACUAAGGCAUGGGAUCUAUGAGAAAUAUCUUGGGAAGGCAUUGUCAGAGGUGUAUCUUUUUUUCUGGAGAGGUUUUCUUUACACAAAUACCAGUAAGGAACUACCCUGUAUUUCUCUCUCCUCCCUCUGAGAUCACUAACAUUUGAGAUUUCCAGAUUAUAUUUGGGCUGAAUGAAGAGAAAGCAUACAAUCCAAAGCUGGCACUAGAGUUCUGUCGAGCUGUGCUGCCUUAGGGGUGUGGUCACAGAAGCUGGGCCUGAGCCUUCUGGUUUUACAACAAAGGGAAUUUCCAGAAAUUUCAGCAGUGAUCCCCACAUAUGUCAGAAGGAUGAUUUUCUUCACUCUCACAUGCAUGUAUGAACAUACCAACCUGUAUAUUUUUACUCUGUUAC